UAUACAACUUUCAGCAACGGAUCUCUUGGCUCUCGCAUCGAUGAAGAACGCAGCGAAAUGCGAUAAGUAAUGUGAAUUGCAGAAUUCAGUGAAUCAUCGAAUCUUUGAACGCACCUUGUGCUCCUUGGUAUUCCGAGGAGCAUGCCUGUUUGAGUGUCAUUAAAUUCUCAAC
rnacentral:rRNA from 1 species